GCUUAAUCAUUCUGCAUUUUUAUGUUACAUGGCAAUUGAUUGCCUUAUUCGAACCAACUAAAUCUAAGGAAGAGCUUGAAUAUUUUGACAUAGGUGUUUAUUCUCACUGAAUUGUGCAGUGGGUUCCAAGUUAUCAAAAGAAGAGGCAGAGAAUAGAAAGUUGAUGCCACAGUGUCAAAUACCCAAGUUGGUUCCGGGUAGUGAAUAAUGUGAUUGUCUUCAGAAGAAAGGUAUAAAUGCUUUUUCUUAUUCAUAAAUUCAGUAGCUUUGUUGAUGCUUGAUUGAUGUGUUGUUGAGGCCUUUAUAUAUGUUGGUGUAUUGAUAUGAAAUAGCCUUGUUGAGGUCUUUAUAUAUGUUGCUGGAUUGAUUGGAAUAGCCUUAUUGAGGUCUUUAUAUAUGUUGCAGGACUGAUUGAAAUACCCUUGUAAUUGGCCUCAUUGAUAUGUUUAUUGACCUUGGAUUUUAUGCAUUUUUAUAUGCUUGAUACAUAUGUUUAGGCUGCUGCGUGAUUGUUUAGAAAACCUUGAAAUCCCUCAACAUUUGAGAAGCUUAAAAAUAUAUCACACAACUCCAUUGCAGUAUCAUAAGCUCCAGGCCUUUUGUAAAGUGACUCCGUGAGUACAUCCUGUAGUUUUCACCAAACCUUUCAUGCCGAACAACAAAGCCACGACCAGUUGCUCUGUACUUAGCCCCAACAUGCAGGAUUGUUCUCCCAUAGUAAUGAACCUUUGUACCCAGUGAGAAAGUAAAGAAAACUGAUGCUAGCUGCAGCUGCAUUAUUAUCGUGUCCCCUAAUGCAGUUCUGAACCCUCUUUCAAGUCCUAUUUCCAUGAUCAUGGGCAAGGACGCCAACAAACCUUAUUGGACAACAGAUUGUCAUAAUUGUCUUCUCCAUUCCACUCAAUGACAAGUAGAGUCUACCAUACAGGAAAGAGUAGAUUGUCAUCACAACCAACUGCAUAAGAAAAAUGAUCAUGCUAGUGACAAAAUUUAAUUCUAAACUGUCAAGAUGUUCAUUUAGAUUAUUUUUAAACAUAUGGCAGAAUGAUUUCACUAAGAAUAGAAAAAUAUAAUUU
rnacentral:lncRNA from 1 species